UUCAGCGUAAGAAAAGAGCUGUUCUUCAGGAUGUUACUAAUGUUUUCUGUGAGAAUACAUACAGGAGCUGUUUCAAUUCAACUAAAGUUCGGGUUCUUAACAAAAGUAUUUUCUAUUUGGUUGAUUGGUACUGCAUCCAUGGAAAGUUUCUCAGUAUCAUUGUCCUUGCUGAAGAGUGAUGUUUGUGACUAGUGCAAAGCAAGCUGGCCAAGGCUAGUAGAAUCGAUGUAUCCAAAGUGGCGCCUUCUGCUGCUGCCCAACAACAUGUUCAAGUUCACUGAAAAAUAUAGUUUUUUGGAGCCAGGUCUUAAAUUAGAACAUGCAUCUUUUUUAAUUAAUACUAAGUGUGAAAGAGAGUGGCAAGGAUGAUAAAACUCAUGCAUCAGGAAUCUCUCCUCUGCCUUUGAUUUCUCAGAAGAAAGCUAAGAAGUGUAGCCCUUUUCCAAUUGCAUUAAGGGAUCCAAAGAUCGGUAACAUAGAUAUGAUAACGAAGAUCCUCAGUUGUGCAGCUUAUAUGCUGCUAAUAUCUAUAACACCUUGCGAAUUUAUAAGAAGGCCAAAUCCUAACUUUAUGGACACAAAGCAGCACGACAUUACUCAAAGCAUACGCGGGAUACUGGUUGAUUGGCUUGUAGAGGUUUCUGAGGAAUACAGAUUGGAACUAGACACUCCUUAUCUCACUUUGUAUCUCAUAGAUUGAUUUCUCUCCUGAAAUUACAUUGAAAGACAUCAGCUACUUGGGAUCCCGAGCAUGUUAAUUGCCUCGAGAGUUCUCAAAUUCAAUGAA